rnacentral:rRNA from 1 species
GGAUGCGAUCAUACCAGCACUAAAGCACCGGAUCCCAUCAGAACUCCGUAGUUAAGCGUGCUUGGGCGAGAGUAGUACUAGGAUGGGUGACCUCGUGGCAAGUCCUCGUGUUGCAUUCC